UACGUAGGGUGCGAGCGUUAAUCGGAAUUACUGGGCGUAAAGUGUGCGCAGGCGGCCGAGCAAGUCAAGUGUGAAAGCCCCGAGCUUAACUUGGGAAUUGCGCUCGAAACUACUUGGCUGGAGUGUGGCAGAGGAAGGUGGAAUUCCAGGUGUAGCGGUGAAAUGCGUAGAGAUCUGGAGGAACACCGAUGGCGAAGGCAGCCUUCUGGGCCAACACUGACGCUCAUGCACGAAAGCGUGGGGAGCAAACAGG
rnacentral:rRNA from 1 species